AUGUUUGCUUAUCAUGUCCUAUCUCUCAUGCUAUUGUGAUUGGUUUUAUUUUAUUAAAAACUGCUCAUAGCAUAGCCAGGUGAUCUAUGUGAACAUCAACAGUGAUAAGCUGACAGUAUGUACCCUGGAUACAUGAUGAGAAUGGCACUUUAGCUACACGGACUUCCUCCCCAGUGCUCAUAAACCCAGUCUAAUCAUGAGAAAAACAGACAAAUAUCAAUAUAGGAACAUUUGGCAAAAUACCCAGUGAGUACUUUUCAAAACUACCAAGGUCAUCAAAAACGAGAAAAGGCUGAGAAACUGUCAAAGCCAAGAGAAGCCUGUAGAGACAUGACCACUGCAUGGGGUGCGGCACCCUGGAUGGGCCCUAAACAUGCGGUGCGGCACCCUGGAUGGGGCCCUAAACAUGGGGUGCGGCACCCUGGAUGGGGCCCUAAACAUGAUGUGCGGCACCCUGGAUGGGGCCCUAAACAUGGGGUGCGGCACCCUGGAAGGGGCCCUAAACAUGAGUUGCGGCACCCUGGCUGGGCCCUAAACAUGGGGUGCGGCACCCUGGAAGGGGCCCUAAACAUGGGGUGCGGCACCCUGGAUGGACCCU
rnacentral:lncRNA from 1 species